rnacentral:rRNA from 1 species
AUGCACGCUGGCGGCGUGCUUAACACAUGCAAGUCGAACGAAGCACUUUAUUUGAUUUCCUUCGGGACUGAUUAUUUUGUGACUGAGUGGCGGACGGGUGAGUAACGCGUGGGUAACCUGCCUUGUACAGGGGGAUAACAGUUGGAAACGGCUGCUAAUACCGCAUAAGCGCACAGCAUCGCAUGAUGCAGUGUGAAAAACUCCGGUGGUAUAAGAUGGACCCGCGUUGGAUUAGCUAGUUGGUGAGGUAACGGCCCACCAAGGCGACGAUCCAUAGCCGACCUGAGAGGGUGACCGGCCACAUUGGGACUGAGACACGGCCCAAACUCCUACGGGAGGCAGCAGUGGGGAAUAUUGCACAAUGGGCGAAAGCCUGAUGCAGCGACGCCGCGUGAGCGAAGAAGUAUUUCGGUAUGUAAAGCUCUAUCAGCAGGGAAGAUAAUGACGGUACCUGACUAAGAAGCACCGGCUAAAUACGUG